rnacentral:rRNA from 1 species
CUAUACAUGACUCUGCGCAUAUCAAUAAGCGGAGGAAAAGAAACUAACAAGGAUUCCCCUAGUAACGGCGAGUGAAGCGGGAAGAGCUCAAAUUUGAAAUCUUAAAGGGCUUCCCUUUACGAAUUGUAGUUUAAAGAAGUGUUUUCUGUUGAGGUUUUGGUAAAAGUUCUUUGGAAUAGGACAUCAUAGAGGGUGAGAAUCCCGUAUUUGACCUUUACUUUCAACUUUGUGAUACACUUUCAAAGAGUCGGAUUGUUUGGGAAUGCAGUCCAAAAUGGGUGGUAAAUUUCAUCUAAAGCUAAAUAUUGGCGAGAGACCGAUAGCGAACAAGUACCGUGAGGGAAAGAUGAAAAGAACUUUGAAAAGAGAGUUAAACAGUACGUGAAAUUGUCAAAAGGGAAGCGUUUGACAGCCAGUGUUGUUUUUCUGAAAAUCAAUUAAAGAACUGUUUAUGCUAAGCUGUUUAGACUUUAUCAGCUAUCUGUUUAGUUUUGAGCUUUUCUUUAAUGCACUUUUCAGUUAACAAGUCAACAUCAAUUUCUUUUGCUGUAAAAAAGCUUGAGGAAGGUGGCUUGAGAUUCGUCUUAAGUGUUUAUAGCCUCUUGCCUAUGCAGUCGGAGAGAUUGAGGUCUGCAGCGUAGAUCCUUCGGGGCUAAAUGCAUUUGUGCUAAGUUAUAGCAUUUUAUAGACAACUUGUUGACUAUGAUUUGUCUUGUAGCUUACUCGCUUAUGUUAUUUUACCUACGCUUAGGAUGUUGAUCUACAGAGCGAGAGU